UGGCUCUCGCAUCGAUGAAGAACGCAGCGAAAUGCGAUAAGUAAUGUGAAUUGCAGAAUUCAGUGAAUCAUCGAAUCUUUGAACGCACCUUGCGCUCUUUGGUAUUCCGAAGAGCAUGCCUGUUUGAGUGUCAUAAAGUCUAACUAUCCUAGGUUUCUAGAAUAGUUUUUUGGGCUCUGCCUUUGGCUGGCCUUAAAUGCAUCAGUGGACGGCGUGAUAAGUUUAUGCCAGCCCACUUUAAACCUUUGCUCUGACCUCAAAUCAGGUAGGACUACCCGCUGA
rnacentral:misc_RNA from 1 species